AGAAUCAACGCUGGCGGCGUGCCUAACACAUGCAAGUCGAACAAGAAAGUGGAGCAAUCCAUGAGUAAAGUGGCGACCGGGUGAGUAACACGUGACUAACCUACCUUCGAGUGGGGGAUAACCUCGGGAAACCGAGGCUAAUACCGCAUAACAUCGUGAGAUCAAAGCAGUAAUGCGCUGGAAGAGGGGGUCGCGGCUGAUUAGCUAGUUGGCGGGGUAAUGGCCCACCAAGGCGAAGAUCGGUAGCCGGCCUGAGAGGGCGCGACGGACCGACGACCUGGAACUGAAACACGGUCCAGACUCCUACGGGAGGCAGCAGUGGGGAAUUUUGCGCAAUGGGGGAAACCCUGACGCAGCAACGCCGCGUGGAGGAUGAAGUCCCUUGGGACGUAAACUCCUUUCGACCAAGACGAUAAUGACGGUACUGGUGGAGAAGCACCGGCUAACUCUGUGCCAGCAGCCGC
rnacentral:rRNA from 1 species